rnacentral:tRNA from 2 species
AAAGAAUUAGUUAAUAAAUAACAUAAAUUUGUCAAAUUUAAAUAAUUAAAUAUAAUAUUCUUUU